GGUAAUGAUGGCAGAGAGGUCACACCCGUUCCCAUACCGAACACGGAAGUUAAGCUCUCUAGCGCCGAUGGUAGUUGGGACCUUGUCCCUGUGAGAGUAGGACGUCGCCAAGC
rnacentral:rRNA from 3 species